UACGAAGGGGGCUAGCGUUGUUCGGAAUUACUGGGCGUAAAGGGCGCGUAGGCGGACAGCUUAGUCAGAGGUGAAAGCCCAGGGCUCAACCUUGGAACUGCCUUUGAUACUGGCUAUCUUGAGUUCGGGAGAGGUGAGUGGAAUGCCGAGUGUAGAGGUGAAAUUCGUAGAUAUUCGGCGGAACACCAGUGGCGAAGGCGACUCACUGGCCCGAUACUGACGCUGAGGCGCGAAAGCGUGGGGAGCGAACAGG
rnacentral:rRNA from 1 species